rnacentral:rRNA from 1 species
GUCGAGGAUCUUCGGCAAUGGGCGCAAGCCUGACCGAGCGACGCCGCGUGCGCGAUGAAGGCCUUCGGGUUGUAAAGCGCUGUCGAGGGGGCGGAAAGCCGGGUAACCGGUCUGACUUAUCCCUGGAGGAAGCACGGGCUAAGUUCGUGCCAGCAGCCGCGGUAAGACGAACCGUGCGAACGUUGUUCGGAAUCACUGGGCUUAAAGGGCGCGUAGGCGGCUAACCAAGUCAGGAGUGAAAUCUUUCGGCUCAACCGGAAAAGUGCUCUUGAUACUGGUUAGCUAGAGGGAGAUAGGGGCAUGUGGAACUUCCGGUGGAGCGGUGAAAUGCGUUGAUAUCGGAAGGAACGCCGGUGGCGAAAGCGACGUGCUGGACCUCUUCUGACGCUGAGGCGCGAAAGCCAGGGGAGCGAACGGGAUUAGAAACCCCUGUAGUCC